rnacentral:lncRNA from 1 species
AUGACAGAAAGCAAAGAGGAAAUAAACAGCCUGUUGAUCAAGGUGAAAGAGGAGAGUGGAAAAGUUGGUUUAAAACUCAACAUUCAAAAAACUAAGAUCAUGACAUCUGGUCCCAACAUUUCAUGGCAAAUUGAAGGGGAAAAAGUGGGAACGGUGGCAGAUUUUAUUUUCUUGGGCUCCAAAAUCACUGUGGACAGUGAUUACAGCCAUGAAAUUAAAAGACAUUUGCUCCUUGGAAGAAAAACAAUGACAAACGCUAGACAGCAUAUUCAAAAGCAGAGAUGUUACUUUGCAGACAAAGGUCCAUAUAGUCAAAGUUAUGGUUUCUCCAGUAGUCAUACACAAUUUGAAAGUUGGACCAUAAAGAAGGCUAAAUGCCAAAGAACUGAUGAUUUUGGAUUGUGGUGCUGGAGAAGACUCUUGAGAGUCACAUGGACACCACGGAGAUCAAACCAGUCAAUCCUAAAGGAAAUAAUCCCUGAAUAUUCAUAUGCUAAAAAAGUAAUGCUCAAAAUUCUCCAAGCCAGGCUUCAGCAAUAUGUGAACCGUGAACUCCCUGAUGUUCAAGCUGGUUUUAGAAAAGGCAGAGGAACCAGAGAUCAAAUUACCAACAUCCGCUGGAUCAUGGAAAAAGCAAGAGAGUUCCAGAAAAACAUCUAUUUCUGCUUUAUUGACUAUGCCAAAGCCUUUGACUGUGUGGAUCACAAUAAACUGUGGACAAUUCUGAAAGAGAUGGGAAUACCAGACCACCUAACCUGCUUCUUGAGAAAUCUGUAUACAGGUCAGGAAGCAACAGUUAGAACUGGACAUGGAACAACAGACUGGUUCCAAAUAGGAAAAGGAGUAUGUCAAGGCUGUAUACUGUCACCCUGCUUAUUUAACUUCUAUGCAGAGUAUAUCAUGAGAAAUGCUGGACUGGAAGAAACACAAGCUGGAAUCAAGAUUGCCGGGAGAAAUACCCAUAACCUCAGAUAUGCAGAUGACACCACCCUUAUGGCAGAAAGUGAAGAGGAGCUAAAAAGCCUCUUGAUGAAAGUGAAAGAGGAGAGCGAAAAAGUUGGCUUAAAGCUCAACAUUCAGAAAAAGAAGAUCAUGGCAUCUGUUCCCAUCACUCCAUGGGAAAUAGAUGGGGAAACAGUGGAAACAGUGUCAGACUUUAUUUUGGGGGGCUCCAAAAUCACUGCAGAUGGUGACUGCAGCCAUGAACUUAAAAGACACUUACUCCUUGGAAGAGAAGUUAUGAGAAACCUAGAUAGUAUAUUCAAAAGCAGAGACAUUACUUUGCCGACUAAGGUCCGUCUAGUCAAGGCUAUGGUUUCUCCUGUGGUCAUGUAUGGAUGUGAGAGUUGGACUGUGAAGAAGGCUCAGCACUGA